AUUGAACGCUGGCGGCAUGCCUUACACAUGCAAGUCGAACGGCAGCACGGGAGCAAUCCUGGUGGCGAGUGGCGAACGGGUGAGUAAUAUAUCGGAACGUGCCCAGUCGUGGGGGAUAACGCAGCGAAAGCUGUGCUAAUACCGCAUACGAUCUACGGAUGAAAGCGGGGGAUCGCAAGACCUCGCGCGAUUGGAGCGGCCGAUAUCAGAUUAGCUAGUUGGUGGGGUAAAGGCCCACCAAGGCGACGAUCUGUAGCUGGUCUGAGAGGACGACCAGCCACACUGGAACUGAGACACGGUCCAGACUCCUACGGGAGGCAGCAGUGGGGAAUUUUGGACAAUGGGCGCAAGCCUGAUCCAGCAAUGCCGCGUGCAGGAAGAAGGCCUUCGGGUUGUAAACUGCUUUUGUACGGAACGAAACGGCGAGCUCUAAUACAGUUUGCUAAUGACGGUACCGUAAGAAUAAGCACCGGCUAACUACGUGCCAGCCGCCGCGGUAA
rnacentral:rRNA from 1 species